GUCCAGGGGCGGGAAUCGAACCCACAACCUUCCCGCUUACCGGGUAGAUACCAUGUCCACUAGGCUACCCUGGA